rnacentral:lncRNA from 10 species
AAGCCUGUAAUCCCAGCACUUUGGGAGGCCAAGGUGGGUGGAUCACCUCACGCCUAUAAUCCCAGCAGUUUGGGAGGCCGAGGUGGGUGGAUUACCUGAGGUCAGGAGUUCGAGACCAGCCUGGCCAACAUAACGAAACCAUGUUGGAGAAUUGCUUGAACCCGGGAGGCGGAGGUUGCAGUGAGCCAAGAUCUUAUCACUGCACUCCAGCCAGGGCAACAGAGACAGACUGUGUCUCAAAAACAAACAAACAAACAAACAAACAAACAAACAAAAAGAUACUUUCAUAAAGGACAUAGAUCAAGGAACAAGACCAGAGGCAUUUCCCACCACAGGACAGGCCCAUGAGGAAACAAGGAUGGGCUUAGUGAACUGGGAUGGGCCUGGUCACCUGUCACCUGUCACCUGGCUCCCUUCGGAUCAUCAAGCUGGGUGCUGCUCGGGAGGGAGAAGGGGACAGGUGGUCUCAAGGCAUCUAGAGCUUGGAAGGUACCUGGCAGGAGGCUGGUCCUGGACUUCUGACAAUGAUGACGGUGAUAAUGAUGAUGAUAAUCAUUGCUACUUAACCGUUAACCAACAUCAGUAAGUGCCAAGCACUUCAUGUGUGAUUCAUCAGGGAGAUUUCCCAACAACCCACCUGACAGAUGAAGAAACUGAGGCUCAGAGAGGCAAAGUCACUUGCCUGAGUUCCCACAGCAGGGCUGGGAUUUGCACUCAGGUCCGGCUGCCUGUGGAGUCCAAACUUUUGCCUGCUGCUAAGACCCCUUCUGGCUCUGAGCUUUCUAGAGUCUUGACAGUGUGCACUAGGAGAGGGGCAAGCAGGGAGGGCAUGGGACUGCUUGCCAAGCAGGGAGCAUGCAGAGAACUUCCCCAGGCCCAGCAGGACCCUUCCUAGGCCUCGUAGCUGCAGCUCCCAUUUCCCAAGCUCCCAAGUCUGCCUCUUCAGAGCCAAGUGGAACCCAGGUCCCAACUGCAAGCUCGGAGGUCUUGCUCCCAGCCCAGAGACUGCCCCUGGGGGUUAGCUGAGUGCCACGGGGCCAGAGCGGGUGGGCAGGGCUAGGUAGGGCUCCCUCCCCCUUCAGUAUUGCAGUGAUGUCACCGUGUGGCAUGGCACCCACCAUGCCAAAUGCUUUGCCAUCUCCCUUCACAUCCCUGCCACAUCCCCCUCAGCCCCCAGAUAGGGAAACUGAGGCUCAGAGACAGGAACUGACUUGAGCAUGUGCGUACAGCAAGUAAGGGUCAGAGCAGGGACCUGGACAAUAGCCAGUCUCUCCCCAGAGCCUGUGCUCCAGGGUUGAAGGGUGCCCUCCAAAGACAAAAGGACAGAUGGAACCUGCAGCGUGUGCUCAGUGGGCAGUCUGCUUUCCCCGGGGCAGGGGACUGUGGGACCUUCCUUCCUGGCAGGUCAGACCAGAGCUGCAGGAUUAGAGCCUGCCUUGGCCAUUUGCUGCAAUUUUCUCCCACCAAGCCGAGGUCUGGGCUGGCAUCCCCACAGAGUGACCUCGGGGUCCCCAGACCCAC